rnacentral:rRNA from 1 species
AUUGAACGCUGGCGGAAUGCUUUACACAUGCAAGUCGAACGGUAGAGGGGGCAACCCCUCGAGAGUGGCGAACGGGUGAGUAAUAUAUCGGAACGUGCCCAGUCGUGGGGGAUAACGUAGCGAAAGUUACGCUAAUACCGCAUACUAUCUAAGGAUGAAAGCGGGGGAUCGCAAGACCUCGCGCGAUUGGAGCGGCCGAUAUCAGAUUAGGUGGUUGGUGGGGUAAAGGCUCACCAAGCCAACGAUCUGUAGCUGGUCUGAGAGGACGACCAGCCACACUGGAACUGAGACACGGUCCAGACUCCUACGGGAGGCAGCAGUGGGGAAUUUUGGACAAUGGACGCAAGUCUGAUCCAGCCAUUCCGCGUGCAGGAUGAAGGCCCUCGGGUUGUAAACUGCUUUUGUACGGAACGAAAAGGUCUCUCUUAAUACGGGGGACUCAUGACGGUACCGUAAGAAUAAGCACCGGCUAACUACGUGCCAGCCGCCGCCGUAA